CUCGGUUUCCACGCCCUUUGCUCCCACACAAUUCUGAGAACAGAUGCCUAAUCAUAUUUCAGACGUCCUACGGGCCAGUGACGGACUCUCUGGGACAGGCGCCCCUCCCCACACGGGGCAUUUCCAAGGGGAAGACCAUGCAGGCGGUUCUUCAGAAGUAUAUGUGAGACGGGGUCUCGCUCU